GCCCAGACAGCUCAGUUGGUAGAGCGUCAGAUUUAUAAUAUGAGGGUCAUGGGUUCAAGCCCAAAAGAUUCAUGCA